GACCUAUCAACUCGAGACGGCGGGGUAGAGGCCCGCCGCGGUAACGACGGGUAACGGGGAAUCAGGGUUCGAUUCCGGAGAGGGAGCCCCGAGAAACGGCUACCACCUUCCAAGGAAGGCAGCAGGCGCGCAACUUACCCUAAUCUCGAUUCGAGGAGGUAGUGACAAGAAAUACCGAUGCGGGACCCUACGGGUGCCGCGUUCGGAAUGAGUACGAUUCGAACCACCUAACGAGGAACGAUCGGAGGGCAAGUCUGGUGCCAGCAGCCGCGGUAAUUCCCGAGCUCCAAUAGCGUACGUUAAAGUUGCUGCAGUUAAAAAGCUCGUAGUUUGAACGUUCGGGUUCCGCGGGGACGGGGCCGCCCCGCGAGGGACGGCGCCGCCCCGGGGCUCGUGAUAUCUCGAUCUCGCGCCCCGUCGCGAGGCGGACGGAGGGAU
rnacentral:rRNA from 1 species